CCUACGGGAGGCAGCAGUGAGGAAUAUUGGUCAAUGGACGAGAGUCUGAACCAGCCAAGUAGCGUGAAGGAUGACUGCCCUAUGGGUUGUAAACUGCUUUUAUAUGGGAAUAAAACAGGGUAUGCAUACCCUCUUGUAUGUACCAUACGAAUAAGGAUCGGCUAACUCCGUGCCAGCAGCCGCGGUAAUACGGAGGAUCCGAGCGUUAUCCGGAUUUAUUGGGUUUAAGGGGGGCGUAGGUGGAUUGUUAAGUCAGUUGUGAAAGUUUGGGGCUCAACCGUAAAAUUGCAGUUGAAACUGGCAGUCUUGAGUACAGUAGAGGUGGGCGGAAUUCGUGGUGUAGCGGUGAAAUGCUUAGAUAUCACGAAGAACUCCGAUUGCGAAGGCAGCUCACUGGACUGCAACUGACACUGAUGCUCGAAAGUGUGGGUAGCAAACAGGAUUAGAUACCCCAGUAGUC
rnacentral:rRNA from 1 species